rnacentral:rRNA from 1 species
AACGAACGCUGGCGGCGUGGAUAAGACAUGCAAGUCGAACGGAUUUUCCGCUGUAGCAAUACAGUGGGAGGUCAGUGGCGCAAGGGUGCGUAACACGUGGGCAACCUGCCCUGAAGUUGGGGAUAGCCCGCCGAAAGGCGGAUUAAUACCGAAUGUGGCUAGCUGCCGAGUGGUGGCGACGCUAAAGCUGGGGCGAACCUGGCGCUUCUGGAUGGGCCCGCGGCCU